GGAUCAUUACCGAGUUUACAACUCCCAAACCCAAUGUGAACGUUACCAAACUGUUGCCUCGGCGGGAUCUCUGCCCCGGGUGCGUCGCAGCCCCGGACCAAGGCGCCCGCCGGAGGACCAACCAAAACUCUUUUUGUAUACCCCCUCGCGGGUUUUUUAUAAUCUGAGCCUUCUCGGCGCCUCUCGUAGGCGUUUCGAAAAUGAAUCAAAACUUUCAACAACGGAUCUCUUGGUUCUGGCAUCGAUGAAGAACGCAGCGAAAUGCGAUAAGUAAUGUGAAUUGCAGAAUUCAGUGAAUCAUCGAAUCUUUGAACGCACAUUGCGCCCGCCAGUAUUCUGGCGGGCAUGCCUGUCCGAGCGUCAUUUCAACCCUCGAACCCCUCCGGGGGGUCGGCGUUGGGGAUCGGCCCUCCCUUAGCGGGUGGCCGUCUCCGAAAUACAGUGGCGGUCUCGCCGCAGCCUCUCCUGCGCAGUAGUUUGCACACUCGCAUCGGGAGCGCGGCGCGUCCACAGCCGUUAAACACCCAACUUCUGAAAUGUUGACCUCGGAUCAG
rnacentral:rRNA from 1 species